rnacentral:rRNA from 1 species
CCGCGUGUGUGAAGAAGGCCUUCGGGUUGUAAAGCACUUUUGUUCGGGAAGAAAUCUGUCGGGUUAAUACCCUGGCGGGAUGACGGUACCGGAAGAAUAAGCACCGGCUAACUACGUGCCAGCAGCCGCGGUAAUACGUAGGGUGCGAGCGUUAAUCGGAAUUACUGGGCGUAAAGCGUGCGCAGGCGGUUUCGUAAGACAGAUGUGAAAGCCCCGGGCUUAACCUGGGAAUUGCAUUUGUGACUGCGAGACUAGAGUGCGUCAGAGGGAGGUGGAAUUCCGCGUGUAGCAGUGAAAUGCGUAGAGAUGCGGAGGAACACCGAUGGCGAAGGCAGCCUCCUGGGAUGACACUGACGCUCAUGCACGAAAGCGUGGGGAGCAAACAGGAUUAGAUACCCUGGUAGCCCACGCCCUAAACGAUGUCUACUAGUUGUCGGGGAUUCAUUUCCUUGGUAACGCAGCUAACGCGCGAAGUAGACCGCCUGGGGAGUACGGCCGCAAGGUUAAAACUCAAACGAAUUGACGGGGACCCGCACAAGCGGUGGAUGAUGUGGAUUAAUUCGAUGCAACGCGAAAAACCUUACCUACGCUUGACAUGCCAGGAACUUUCCAGAGAUGGAUUGGUGNCCGAAAGGGAACCUGGAC